CGGUAAUACGUAGGGUGCGAGCGUUAAUCGGAAUUACUGGGCGUAAAGCGUGCGCAGGCGGUUUUGUAAGUCAGAUGUGAAAUCCCCGAGCUCAACUUGGGAACUGCGUUUGAAACUACAAGACUAGAAUAUGUCAGAGGGGGGUAGAAUUCCACGUGUAGCAGUGAAAUGCGUAGAGAUGUGGAGGAAUACCAAUGGCGAAGGCAGCCCCCUGGGAUAAUAUUGACGCUCAUGCACGAAAGCAUGGGGAGCAAACAGGAUUAGAUACCCUGGUAGUCCACGCCCUAAACGAUGUCUACUAGUUGUUGGUGGAGUAAAAUCCAUGAGUAACGCAGCUAACGCGUGAAGUAGACCGCCUGGGGAGUACGGUCGCAAGAUUAAAACUCAAAGGAAUUGACGGGGGCCCGCACAAGCGGUGGAUUAUGUGGAUUAAUUCGAUGCAACGCGAAAAACCUUACCUGGCCUUGACAUGCCACUAAC
rnacentral:rRNA from 1 species